rnacentral:rRNA from 1 species
CAGUCGCCACGGGAAUACGAGGGGGGCAAGCGUUGUUCGGAAUUAUUGGGCGUAAAGGGUGCGUAGGCGGUUUGAUAAGUCUUGUGUGAAAUCUAUGGGCUCAACCCAUAGUCUGCACAGGAAACUGUCGGGCUUGAGAGUGGGAGAGGUGAGUGGAAUUUCCGGUGUAGCGAUGAAAUGCGUAGAUAUCGGAAGGAACACCUGUGGCGAAAGCGGCUCACUGGACCAUUUCUGACGCUGAUGCACGAAAGCUAGGGGAGCAAACAGGAUUAGAUACCCCCGUAGUCCCUGUCUCUUAUAA